AAACCAUGUUGUGGACAUUUUCUCAAAAGAUCUUUGAACCUCUCAUGGGCUUCAAACAGUGUUUCUGAAUCACCUUGCCUGAAAGAAGAAAUUUCUUGCCUUAGCCU